AUUGAAAUUUAUGUAAAUUGUUCAAGACUUCUAUAUUCAGUUUUUAGUAUAAUUCAGACUAUCAUAUAUAAGCCAUAUGCAUUAUGAUUGCAUUUGUCAUGCAUGAAAUACAUGAUAAGUGCAGUCAUAAUGAAUGUGCUACACUAAAGUAUUAUAUGUAACAUCAUACUACAUUGGCAGUUCAUUCACUGUAUGUAUCCAGUGAUAAAUAGACAAUGUGAAUAAAAAUGAUAUUCAUCGAUACUUUAACUAUAGAGGAAAGCCAUCUUGACACAAGCAGACACUAUCUGUUAUAGUAGAGUUAUUUAAUACAUAUGUAUAUAAACAUGAAAGGAAAUAGUAACACAUUGCACAAUAUCUACUAUCAAUUGCAAACAGAAAAUAUAUAUACAAUGUACAUUAGUAUAUUUCAUGCAUCCAUGACAAAUGCACCUAUAAUUGAUGAUCUGUAUAUAAUGAAAGUAGCAUCUUUUUAUUCAAAGACUACAUUUGUAAUAGUGUUGAUUGCAGAUCUAUGUCAUUC
rnacentral:lncRNA from 1 species